rnacentral:lncRNA from 1 species
GUUUAGGCCAUGCCUGGCAUCAGUAACUCAGGCUGUUUCCCACACUACAGGCCAGCACUGUGGGCUCUCAGUUUAUUGGGAAAUGGAAAUAAGAGGGAAGGACAAAAGUCCACUGGGAAGCAGACUGGACAGAAAGGAACUCUGAGCAGCUAAACUCUGACUAAUCCCAGGGUAUACCUGCGUUUUCUCUUCACCAGGUUAGACUUUUAAUUACUGAUUUGGUAAAUUUGGAUUCCUUUUUCAACAACUCAUGUAAAAAUGUUAUGUUUAUGUUUGGGGAGGCUGGGUGCGGUGGUUCAUGCCUGUAAUCUCAGCACUUUGGGAGGCCGAGACGGGUGGAUUGUUUGAGGUCAGGAGUUCGAGACCAGCCUGGCCAACAUGGUGAAACCCUGUCUCUACUAAAAAUACAAAAAAAAUUAGCUGGGCGUGGUGGCAUGCACCUGUAGUCCCAGCUACUUAGGAGGCUGAGGCAGGAGAAUCACUUGAACUCAGGAGGCAGAGGUUGCAGUGAGCCAAGAUCGUGCCACUGCACUCCAGCCUGGGCGACAGAGGGAGACUCCAUCUCCAGUAAAAAAUAAAUAAAUGUUCUGUUAGUACUUUUGGGAGGUGACGAUCUAGAGCAGGGGUGGGAAGACUACUGCCUGAGGGUCAAUUUUGCCAGUACUCAUUUUUUUGUUUUUUGUUUUGAGACUGGGUCUUGUUCUGUUUCCUAGGCUAAAGGGCAGUGGUGUGAUCAUAGCUCACUGCAACCUUCAACUCUGGGCUCAAGUGAUCCUCUCCUGCCUCAGCCUCCUGACUAACUGGUACUACAGGCACAUGACACCACGCCUGGCUAAUUAUUUUUAUUUAUUUGUUUAUUUUUGAGACAGAGUCUUGCUCUGUUGCUCUGGCUGGAAUGCAGUAGUGCAAUCAUGGGUCACUGCAGCCUUUUCCUGCUGGGCUGAAGUGAUCCUCGCAUCUCAGCCUCUUGAGUAGCUAGCACUACAGGUGUGUGCUACUGCACCCAGCUAAUUUUUAAUUUUUUGUAGAAAUGAGGUCUCGCUAUGUUGCCCAGGCUGGUUUUGAACUUCUAACCUCAAGAAAUCCUCCCACCUUGGCUUCCCAAAAUGCUGGGAUGACAGAUGUGAG